rnacentral:ncRNA from 1 species
UCAGAGCCUCGACUGCAGGCUCCCGGACGAGGGGCGCCGUACCCGGCACGCGACAAGACGGCCCGCA